rnacentral:rRNA from 1 species
GACGAACGCUGGCGGCGUGCUUAACACAUGCAAGUCGUACGGUAAGGCCCUUUCGGGGGUACACGAGUGGCGUACGGGUGAGUAACACGUGCGUAACCUGCCCACCACUUUGGGAUAACGCUAGGAAACUGGUGCUAAUACUGGAUAUGUGCUCCUGCUGCAUGGUGGGGGUUGGAAAGCUCCGGCGGUUGUGGAUGGACUCGCGGCCUAUCAGCUUGUUGGUGGGGUAGUGGCCUACCAAGGCGGCGACGGGUAGCCGGCCUGAGAGGGUGACCGGCCACAAUGGGACUGAGAGACGGCCCAGACUCCUACGGGAGGCAGCAGUGGGGAAUAUUGCACAAUGGGCGCGAGCCUGAUGCAGCGACGCCGCGGGCGGGAUGACGGGCUUCGGGUUGUAAACCGCUUUCAGCAGGGACGAAGCUUUUUGUGACGGUACCUGCAGAAGAAGCACCGGCUAACUACGUG